rnacentral:rRNA from 1 species
GUAACACGUGGGCAACCUGCCCUGUAGAUUGGGAUAACUCCGGGAAACCGGGGCUAAUACCGAAUAAUCCACCAGACCACAUGGUCCGGUGUUGAAAGGCGGCUUCGGCUGUCGCUACAGGAUGGGCCCGCGGCGCAUUAGCUAGUUGGUGAGGUAACGGCUCACCAAGGCGACGAUGCGUAGCCGACCUGAGAGGGUGAUCGGCCACACUGGGACUGAGACACGGCCCAGACUCCUACGGGAGGCAGCAGUAGGGAAUCUUCCACAAUGGACGAAAGUCUGAUGGAGCAACGCCGCGUGAGUGAAGAAGGUUCUCGGAUCGUAAAACUCUGUUGUGAGGGAAGAACAAGUACCGGAGUAACUGCCGGUACCUUGACGGUACCUCAUUAGAAAGCCACGGCUAACUACGUGCCAGCAGCCGCGGUAAUACGUAGGUGGCAAGCGUUGUCCGGAAUCAUCGGGCGUAAAGCGCGCGCAGGCGGUCCCUUAAGUCUGAUGUGAAAGCCCACGGCUCAACCGUGGAGGGUCAUUGGAAACUGGGGACUUGAGUGCAGAAGAGGAAAGCGGAAUUCCAAGUGUAGCGGUGAAAUGCGUAGAGAUUUGGAGGAACACCAGUGGCGAAGGCGGCUUUCUGGUCUGUAACUGACGCUGAGGCG